rnacentral:rRNA from 1 species
AGAACGUCGUGAGACAGUUCGGUCUCUAUCCGCCGCGCGCGUGGAAACUUGAUGGAAGGCUGUCCCUAGUACGAGAGGACCGGGACGGACGAACCUCUGGUGUGUCAGUUGUACUGCCAAGUGCACCGCUGAUUAGCUACGUUCGGAUGGGAUAACCGCUGAAAGCAUCUAAGCGGGAAGCCUGUUUUAAGAUGAGGUUUCAUUUGAGGUUCCCAGGAGACUACUGGGUUGAUAGGCCGGACCUGGAAG